UAGGGAAUAUUGCACAAUGGAGGAAACUCUGAUGCAGCGACGCCGCGUGAGUGAUGAAGGUCUUCGGAUUGUAAAGCUCUGUUCUAUGGGAAGAAAAAAAUGACGGUACCAUAGAAGAAAGGAUCGGCUAACUUCGUGCCAGCAGCCGCGGUAAGACGAGGGAUCCUAGCGUUGCUCGGAAUCAUUGGGCGUAAAGCGGGUGUAGGUGGCUUUGCAAGUCAGGAGUGAAAGCCCACAGCUUAACUGUGGAAGUGCUUUUGAAACUGCUUAGCUUGAAUGUGGGAGAGGUUAGUAGAAUUCCUGGUGUAGUGGUGAAAUACGUAGAUAUCAGGAGGAAUACCUGUGGAGAAGUCGGCUAACUGGCCCAACAUUGACACUCAGACCCGAAAGCAUGGGGAUCAAACAG
rnacentral:rRNA from 1 species